GUCUGGGUGGUGUAGUUGGUUAUCACRCUAGUSUCACACACUGGAGGUCCCUGGUUUGAAUCUGGGCUCAGACA
rnacentral:tRNA from 1 species